rnacentral:rRNA from 1 species
CGCAUCUGUGCAUGCAGCAUAUCAAUAAGCGGAGGAAAAGAAACUAACAAGGAUUCCCCUAGUAACGGCGAGUGAAGCGGGAAGAGCUCAAAUUUGAAAUCUUAAAGGGUUUCCCUUUACGAAUUGUAGUUUAAAGAAGUGUUUUCUGUUGAGGUUUUGGUAAAAGUUCUUUGGAAUAGGACAUCAUAGAGGGUGAGAAUCCCGUAUUUGACCUUUACUUUCAACUUUGUGAUACACUUUCAAAGAGUCGGAUUGUUUGGGAAUGCAGUCCAAAAUGGGUGGUAAAUUUCAUCUAAAGCUAAAUAUUGGCGAGAGACCGAUAGCGAACAAGUACCGUGAGGGAAAGAUGAAAAGAACUUUGAAAAGAGAGUUAAACAGUACGUGAAAUUGUCAAAAGGGAAGCGUUUGACACCAGUGUUGUUUUUCUGAAAAUCAAUUAAAGAACUGUUUAUGCUAAGCUGUUUAGACUUUAUCAGCUAACUGUUUAGUUUUGAGCUUUUCUUUAAUGCACUUUUCAGUUAACAAGUCAACAUCAAUUUCUUUUGCUGUAAAAAAGCUUGAGGAAGGUGGCUUGAGAUCCGUCUUAAGUGUUUAUAGCCUCUUGCCUAUGCAGUCGGAGAGAUUGAGGUCUGCAGCGUAGAUCCUUCGAGGGCUAAAUGCAUUUGUGCUAAGUUAUAGCAUUUUAUAGACAACUUGUUGACUAUGAUUUGUCUUGUAGCUUACUCGCUUAUGUUAUUUUACCUACGCUUAGGAUGUUGACAGCAGUAUAGACUGU